GCAAAUAUUGGUGUACCAGUACCACUGUACUUCGUGGGAUUGUUGAUUUUUGUUAUCGAAUCUCUCAAACUCACAGUUUCUGUGAUCAUGACGUGAUUGAGCGAACGGUGCUUGAUUGGUAUUCUUUUUGUCGUGAGAAUCAUCUCCAAUGGAAGGCGUUCGGAAGACUUCAUCUGUGAACGUGGCUCCCUGUCAGACGUUGGGGACAGCACCGUGAUGACGCUGGUAGUAGGUGACACGUGUCUGGUGACGCACUGGGCGAUGCUGAAGUUGUGUUCCAGCUUGACGCACUGGAGAGCAAGCAGCAGCCAACAGACAACUCCCGAUGUGGAGGCCCCAGUGCUGCACCAGCUGCUGUCGUACAUCUAUACACUCCAGCCACCCCCCUCUCCCCCACCGCCAAGCACAGUUUCCCAGCUAUUGGUUGCUGCCGAUAAGUAUGGUGUGUCAGUCCCGAAGGAAGGGUGUGAGAGACAGAUGGCGAUGGUGACUGCAGCAGCCACAGAUGUUGUAGCGGUUAUGCAAUCCUCCCACAUAAAGGCCCGUUUAGUUUGAGAUGGGUAUAAUGCCUAAAUGGCUGCCAUCUGAUCCUCCAACAAGAACCAGAAUCAUCUCCAAUGGAACGAGUUCGGAAGACUUCAUUUGUGAACGUGGGGUCCCUGUCAGACACUGGGGACAGCACCGUGACGAUGUUGGUAGUAGGUGACGCGUGUCUGGUGACGCACUGGGCGAUGCUGCAGCUGUGUUCCAGCACGACACACUGGAGAGGUGAGCAGCAGCCAGCAGACAACUCCUGAUGUCGAGGGCCCGGUGCUGCACCAGCUGCUGUCUUACAUCUAUAUACUCCAGCCCCCCCUCCCCCGCCGCCAAGCACAGUUUCCCAGCUAUUGGUUGCUGCCGACAAGUAUGGUGUGUCAGUCCUGAAGGAAGAGUGUGAGUGACAGUUGGCGAUGGUGACUGCAGCAGCCACAGCUGUUCUAGUGGUUACGCACUCCUCUGUCAGAUCCGCCUCUGCAUAAAGGCCUGUUUAGUUUGAGAUGGGUAUAAUGCCUAAAUGGCUGCCAUCCGAUCCUCCAACAAGAACCAGGGACAUCCACAGUGGAACAAGUUCUGCAGACAUCAUCCGUGAACUUGGGUUCUCUGAACGUUGGGAACAGUGCCACGGUGACACUGGUAGUGGGUGACACACGUUAGACGGUGCCUUGCGCCGUCGUGCAGCAGUGUUCAAGCACGACACACUGGAUGCCAGCAUCAGGUAUCACACCUGUUGGAUAUUGCCGAUCAGUAUGGGAUGCCCACCCUGAAGGAAGAAUGCGAUACACAGUUGACCGUGGGGACUGUGGCAGCUGCAGCUGUACUAGCAGUUACGCACUCCUGUGUCAGUCUCUGGCAUGACACAGUCUGCUGCAUAAAGGUCCGCUUAGUCCCUGUGUUGGCCUCGCAGGGCUCUGUAGAUGUGGUGCGUAACCACGCUGAACAUCUCAUCAAAAGCAGUCUGCUGCCAUCUGAUCCACCAGCAACAACCAGGAUCAUCCACAAUGGGACAAGUUCAGGAGACAUCAUCCGUCAACCUGGGUUCCCUGUUGGGGACGGUGCCACGGUGACUCUAGUGGUGGGUGACACACAUCAGACAGUGCCUCGUGCCGUCCUGCGGCUGUGUUCCAGUACGACGCACUGGUGGGCGGCUGGAGCCAGGUGACAAUCCCCAUGUUGGAGGACCCGGUACUGCACCAGCCGCUGGCUUACCUGUUUACUCUCCAGGCCUCCCAGCUGCCAAACACGGCUUCCCAGUGUUUGGUCAUUGCUAAUAAGUGUGGGGUAUCUGCCCUGAAGGAGUAGUGUGAGAGGCAGUCGGCUGUGAGGACAGUGGCAGCCACAGCUGUUCUUGCAGUUAUGCACUCCUAUGUCAGUCUCAGGCCGGCAACCAUCUCCUCAGUCUCUGCGAAGGCCACACAGGGCUGGAUGAAUGUGAAGCUUUACCAGCCUCAACAUUUGAUUGCAGUGAGACGGCUGCCAUUUGAUCCAACAGAGACAACCAGGAGGCUGUCUGGAGAGGAGAAUGGAAGGAAGUUGAUGUAGGCAGCUGAAGGAGUGACUUGGCAAACUGUGGACACUGUUUAUAGUGAGUGAGUGCAGACAUGAUAGGACAGGUGGACUGCCCCAUGCUACGUAGCAAUGAAGGAAUACGUGAAUGCAGCAAUGUCACCAGUGGAGAGCGGAGCUGAGGGGGAUGCCGGGACAAGCAGCAUACUCUGCACACUGCUGUGAGGAGUGAACACGCAGCACUGGUGCAACUGCAGCUGGCAUCCUCUGCUGACACCGAAACCAGGCAUGUGGAGGGGAGAACGCUGCUCCACUGCGCGGCACUCAGAGAUUGUGUACCUUGGCUACUGUGUUGGUGGGUGCAGGGGCCAACAGAUGGCCAGGAAUGAUUUGAGAGAGACCCCUCUAACAGGGCCCAAGAUGAGGACAGAUGGCAGCUGAUGAUUGCAGUACUAUCAUGAAAUGUGCAGUCUGAUAAACUUCUGUGGAAUAAACGAGAAACACUUUCUCCAUCUUUUUAAUACUUUUAAAAUAAACAAUACAAAACUCCUAAA